rnacentral:sRNA from 1 species
GGACGAUGUAGAGGGCGCGCUCUUCAUCCAUGGCCGCAGGUGCGGGGGAGCCGCAGCCGCUGUGCGCGCCCCAGCCGCUGCCUCCCAGAUGAAUCAGGGAACUCAGCACUCAUCAGAGGCAGGCCUGGGAUUCGAACCAGAGGAGUCAGCGCUGCACCCGGAGACUUUGCAGUGUUACAGUUGGUUGACCUACCUCCUCCUCAUCCCCAUGAACCUACUUCAGUGACGUGUGCCAUUCCUUCACCAGGGACUGCAACGGCUUCACCUUUGCUCUGGGAGGCUGACUACGCAAGCCGACAGUGGGUUUCAGCCUUGCACACUUAGCCGUAAAUCAAAGAACUUGAAUGUGCAUGUCUCUCUCUCUCUCUCUCUCUCUCUCUCUCUCUCUCUCUCUCUCUCUCUCUCUCUCUCUCAAUUGGGCACGUAUUGAGAAUACUCUUGCCAAUCUCUAGGCAGAGGUUUUGGGUCACUGGCAUGGGCUGGGCUGGGAGUUGGAGAACUGUGCUCCCGUCUUCUUUGCUGGCUUGGGUCACACAGCUUUCUGUGGCUGCAGCUUCAUCUUUAAGAACUUGGGGAAAAAAGGCCGUCUUCCUGAGGUUGUUAUGGGAACAAAUGGGCCCAUCUAUUUCAAAUUGCCUAAGGUGCAAGUUCCUUCAAUCUUAAUGGGAAAAUGAAACAAAGGAAGCUUUGUCUUCAGACAGGACCUUCUCUAGACGAGGGACAUUUUCAAUACCGACCUCACCCAAUAUGGGCACUGAUAUGACACAAUUAAAUUUACCACACUUUACAAAUAGAGACUAAUGAAACCAUGAACCACAAGGUGUGUGUGUGUGCGCGCACGUGUGUGUGUGCGUGUGAGUGUGUGUAUGUGUGCGUGUGAGUGU